rnacentral:lncRNA from 1 species
UGGAUGCUUCCUAGAAGUUGCUAAGUUGUUAUGCUUUGGAGCAGUGUCAUCCAGAUUUACUGGGAGUACUCACACUUCAUCACGAGAUAAUUUAAAUCUUCUAGUUGAAUUGAAUAUAACGAUGUGUAUUAGGGCUAUUUAUCCCUCUUUUGACAAUAUUGUUUUUAGUAAGAAUUCUAUUAUGAUAACACAACCAAUUGAAAAUCUUGAACUUUUCUGAAUUGGGAGUUGCCAAAUGAUUUUGCCAUAGUAUGAUAUGAUUUCUCCAUGCAUUAUAAACAAAUAGCAUGUUUGGUCUUGAAUGAAUGGAUUAAGUGCCAUUUUCAAAUCCUUUUAUCAUUUUCUAGCCUAAGCUAUAUGCUGCUCGUCAUGGACCUUAAUAUAUUG